rnacentral:rRNA from 1 species
UACGUAGGGACCAAGCGUUGUCCGGAAUCAUUGGGCGUAAAGCGCGCGUAGGUGGCUUCGUAAGUCCGUUGUGAAAGUCAAAGGCUCAACCUUUGAAAGCCGAUGGAUACUGCGGAGCUAGAGUACGGAAGAGGCGAGUGGAAUUCCUGGUGUAGCGGUGGAAUGCGCAGGAUAUCAGGAGGAACACCAAUAGCGAAGGCAGCUCGCUGGGACGUUACUGACACUGAGGCGCGAAAGCGUGGGGAG